rnacentral:rRNA from 1 species
UACGGAGGGGGCUAGCGUUGUUCGGAAUUACUGGGCGUAAAGCGCGCGUAGGCGGACCUGCAAGUCGAGGGUGAAAGCCCGAGGCUCAACCUCGGAACUGCCUUCGAUACUGCGGGUCUCGAGUCCGGGAGAGGUGAGUGGAAUUCCUAGUGUAGAGGUGAAAUUCGUAGAUAUUCGCAAGAACACCAGUGGCGAAGGCGGCUCACUGGCCCGGUACUGACGCUGAGGUGCGAAAGCGUGGGGAGCAAACAGG